rnacentral:rRNA from 1 species
UGGGGAAUAUUGCACAAUGGGCGCAAGCCUGAUGCAGCCAUGCCGCGUGUAUGAAGAAGGCCUUCGGGUUGUAAAGUACUUUCAGCGGGGAGGAAGGGAGUAAAGUUAAUACCUUUGCUCAUUGACGUUACCCGCAGAAGAAGCACCGGCUAACUCCGUGCCAGCAGCCGCGGUAAUACGGAGGGUGCAAGCGUUAAUCGGAAUUACUGGGCGUAAAGCGCACGCAGGCGGUUUGUUAAGUCAGAUGUGAAAUCCCCGGGCUCAACCUGGGAACUGCAUCUGAUACUGGCAAGCUUGAGUCUCGUAGAGGGGGGUAGAAUUCCAGGUGUAGCGGUGAAAUGCGUAGAGAUCUGGCGGAAUACCGGUGGCGAAGGCGGCCCCCUGGACGAAGACUGACGCUCAGGUGCGAAAGCGUGGGGAGCAAACAGG